rnacentral:rRNA from 1 species
UACGUAGGGGGCUAGCGUUGUCCGGAAUCAUUGGGCGUAAAGCGCGUGUAGGCGGUCCGGUAAGUCCGCUGUGAAAGUCGGGGGCUCAACCUCGGAUGCCGGUGGAGUACUGUCGGGCUUGAGUACGGAAGAGGCGAGUGGAAUCCUGGUGUAGCGGUGAAAUGCGCAGAUAUCAGGAGGAACACCAAUGCGAAGGCAGCUC